AACUCCAUCACCAUCAUUUUGGGAUGAUGUGAGGUAUAUUUGAUGCUAUCUCCGCAUAACACCUUGUACGGGCAUAUUCUUUCAAGUGAACUUACAAAUAGCCCAAGUUUUGUUAGAAACGCGGACUCUGAAAAUUUCUAUGAUUUACAUAGAGAUAGCUCACUGGAAAUAUAUUUACUUACUCAACUACGAGAAUUAUUAAUGGCUAUAUCCUCC
rnacentral:lncRNA from 1 species